GACGAACGCUGGCGGCGUGCUUAACACAUGCAAGUCGAGCGGUAAGGCCCUUUCGAGGGUACACGAGCGGCGAACGGGUGAGUAACACGUGGGUGACCUGCCCUCAGCUCUGGGAUAAGCCUGGGAAACCGGGUCUAAUACCGGAUAUGACUCCAUGACGCAUGUUGUGGGGUGGAAAGCCUUGUGCGGCUGAGGAUGGGCCCGCGGCCUAUCAGCUUGUUGGUGGGGUGANGGCCUACCAAGGCGACGACGGGUAGCCGGCCAGAGAGGGCGACCGGCCACACUGGGACUGAGACACGGCCCAGACUCCUACGGGAGGCAGCAGUGGGGAAUCUUGCGCAAUGGGCGAAAGCCUGACGCAGCGACGCCGCGUGAGGGAUGACGGCCU
rnacentral:rRNA from 1 species